rnacentral:tRNA from 1 species
GAAAAAUUAGUUUAUUAAAACAUUAACUUGUCAAGUUAAAGAAAUUUUUUAAUAUUUUUCU